rnacentral:misc_RNA from 1 species
GAAAUGCGAUAAGUAAUGUGAAUUGCAGAAUUCAGUAAAUCAUCGAAUCUUUGAACGCACAUUGCGCCCGCCAGUAUUCUGGCGGGCAUGCCUGUCCGAGCGUCAUUUCAACCAUCAAGCCCCCGGGCUUGUGUUGGGGACCUGCGGCUGCCCGCAGGCCCUGAAAACCAGUGGCGGGCUCGCUGUCACACCGAGCGUAGUAGCAAUCACCUCGCUCAGGGCGUGCUGCGGGUUCCGGCCGUUAAACAGCCUUACAAAACCCAAGGUUGACCUCGGAUCAGGUAGGAAGACCCGCUGACCUUAAGC